CCGACCUUAGCUCAGUUGGUAGAGCGGAGGACUGUAGCAUGUGCAGAUAAAUCCUUAGAUCGCUGGUUCGAAUCCGGCAGGUCGGA
rnacentral:tRNA from 1 species